rnacentral:rRNA from 1 species
GACGAACGCUGGCGGCGUGCUUAACACAUGCAAGUCGAACGGAAAGGCCCUGCUUUUGUGGGGUGCUCGAGUGGCGAACGGGUGAGUAACACGUGAGUAACCUGCCCUUGACUUUGGGAUAACUUCAGGAAACUGGGGCUAAUACCGGAUAGGAGCUCCUGCUGCAUGGUGGGGGUUGGAAAGUUUCGGCGGUUGGGGAUGGACUCGCGGCUUAUCAGCUUGUUGGUGGGGUAGUGGCUUACCAAGGCUUUGACGGGUAGCCGGCCUGAGAGGGUGACCGGCCACAUUGGGACUGGGAUACGGCCCAGACUCCUACGGGAGGCAGCAGGGGGGAAUAUUGCACAAUGGGCGGAAGCCUGAUGCAGCAACGCCGCGUGCGGGAUGACGGCCUUCGGGUUGUAAACCGCUUUCGCCUGUGACGAAGCGUGAGUGACGGUAAUGGGUAAAGAAGCACCGGCUAACUACGUG